CAACACACAAAAUCCACAUUUCUCUUCUCAGCCAGUGAACGAUCUCUUCUGGUGAGUUUGAAUCUCUGCUUCUGCUAUUUUUUCAAUGUUUGAUCUUCACAAACUUUUCUUGAUUCCCUGUUUACUGGUUAAGCAAAAGGAUUAUAUGCGGAUAAUGGGCCGUGGUUUCCUCUGAAAUUUGUUUUUUCAUCUUUGUUCUUCAGCCUAUGGAGAAUAGGUGGGUUACGAUUGUUCAAGUGCUCCAAUCAAAACUUGAGGGCCGGUGAGUGGCAGUUACUAUUACAGUUCACACAGACCAUGAUUCAUUUGUUCCGCACUGCCAACGUAAGAUGUUCGGCUGAUAUAUGUUCAUCAACAACUAGUAUAUUGCAUUUUCUUCAAAACAACCCUUUACCAUCAUCAUCUUUGCCUUUCAGAUCAACCUCAACUUCUUUAAAUCAACACUCAUUUACUGUCUCUUACCUCAUAAACUCAUGUGGGUUCACUCCAGAAUGAGCUCAAUCAGCUUCUAAGUUUGUCAAAUUUAAAUCCCCAGAUAGACCAGACUCAGUCCUCACCUUCUUGAAGAACCAUGGAUUCUCCCAAAUCCAAAUCUCAAAUGUCGCCAGAAAAGUUCCUGCUAUUCUUUCGUGCGAUCCCAAGAAAACCCUUUUACCCAAAUUUGAGUUUUGGUACUCCACAGGCAUUUCAAAAGCUGACCUUGCAAAAGCAAUAACUACUGGCCCAGUUGUUUUGAAAGGAAGCCUAAAGAACCGGAUUAUCCCAUCUUUCAAUUUCUUUAAAGCUUUGCUACACUCGAAUACUAAAUUCAUCUCAGCCUUUAAAUGAUUCCCGCAAAUAUUUGUUCAAGAUCAAAAAGCUGUUACAAUCCCCAACAUCAAAAUUAUGAGACAACAUGGCGUGCCAGAGUCAAAAGUCGUGUUUUUACUUACUACUCAGCCUAGAUCAUUUAUAAUGAAGCCUGACGAAUUUAAAAAGAUAAUGUACGAAGUGAAGGAAAUGGGUUUUGACCCUUCAAGAAAACAUUUUGUGCUUGCGGUUCACGCAUUGACGUCAAUGAGCAAAUCAACAUGGCAAAGGAAGGUAGAGGUUUAUGGGAAGUGGGGUUGGUCUGAGGAACAAACAAUUCUAGCUUUUGGAAAAAAUCCAUGGUGUAUGAUGGCAUCUGAGGAGAAGAUAAUGGCAGUAAUGAAUUUUUAUGUCAACACAAUGGGUUGGGAAUCUUCACGAAUUGCCAGACGUCCAAAAUGGAUUUCACUAAGCUUGGAGAAGAGAAUUAUCCCGAGGUGUUCUGUUGUUCAAGUUUUGUUGUCAAAAGGUUUGAUUGACAAGAAACGCCUUAGUUUAGCAACAUUGUUGGAGUCUACUGAAAGUUUGUUUCUUGAGAAGUUUGUGAUCCAGUACAAUGAACAAGCACCCCAACUCUUGAAGCUAUAUCAGGAAAAGUUCAGUCUCCAAAAGACAUAGAGGAAUGGGUGUGAAAUUAAGACCAAAUAAUCACAGAAUGUCCAGUGCUCGAAUCUAUAUAAGUUGACAUCUGUUGCAUAUCUUGUUAUUACUGAAACAUUUGGUUGCAUAUUUGACUGAUUUUACUCUCGACAAUGUUACUGUUGCUAUUACUUGAACCUUUCAUGCUAUUGUGAUUGUAAACCGUGAGUGCAUAAGAUUCAUAAGUUUAACAUGACCAAAUGCUAGCAUUUUUUGAUUAUGAAUAUGUCAAAACAUCCAAAAUUUUGCUGCAUUUCAUUUUCUUAACC